rnacentral:SRP_RNA from 1 species
CCCUUGGCUCCAUGGGCAAGCUUCUGUCAACCCCGUCAGAUUCGGAAGGAAGCAGCGGUCCGCAGGUCUGUUUGUGUCAUGGAAUUACCUGGGGGCU